UCGAGGGACAGUAGGGAUGAAUAUUUUGUGGGGUUUGAAAAUUCUGAGGAUUUUGAAAAUUUUGGGAGUAGGGUGGGGCAGUAUUCGAAGCUUGCUGCUUCCAAGAAAAGUUUAGAUGAUUCCGCCAUCCCAGGUUAUAUGUAUUGAAAAAUGGGUCAUUACCCGGUCUGGGCUAUGUUUGAGCAGCAUUGAUGUGUUCUUGCAUGAGUUCGGAGAAUUGGGGUGCUGAGGGGCACUC
rnacentral:lncRNA from 1 species